rnacentral:rRNA from 1 species
UACGUAGGGUGCGAGCGUUGUCCGGAAUUAUUGGGCGUAAAGAGCUUGUAGGCGGUUUGUCGCGUCUGCUGUGAAAAUCCGGGGCUCAACCCCGGACUUGCAGUGGGUACGGGCAGACUAGAGUGUGGUAGGGGAGACUGGAAUUCCUGGUGUAGCGGUGAAAUGCGCAGAUAUCAGGAGGAACACCGAUGGCGAAGGCAGGUCUCUGGGCCACUACUGACGCUCAGGGGCGAAAGCGUGGGGAGCAAACAGG